UACGGGGGGGGCAAGCGUUGUUCGGAAUUACUGGGCGUAAAGGGCUCGUAGGCGGCCAACUAAGUCGGACGUGAAAUCCCUCGGCUUAACCGGGGAACUGCGUCCGAUACUGGAUGGCUUGAGUUUGGGAGAGGGAUGCGGAAUUCCAGGUGUAGGCGGUGAAAUGCGUAGAUAUCUGGAGGAACACCGGUGGCGAAGGCGGCAUCCUGGACCAACACUGACGCUGAGAGCGAAAGCCAGGGGAGCAAAGCAGGAU
rnacentral:rRNA from 1 species